AGAAGGGAGCUGCUGUCUGAGGAGGAAACUGCAUCUUCACGGGCCAGCUACGAGAGGAUCUGGGGUCGCGCUGGGCGCCCGACGGACCCUCCCCAGGGACUCGCCUGCCCCACACCGCCCGGCCUUGCCCGGCGCUCCGCGUCAAGUUCCCCAGCCGCAGCCUUACCUACGGGCUCCAGAAUCCUCAGGGCUUCCAGAGGAUGCUCAGCCCACCGACGGGGACCUCGGGGCAGCAGUGAGGGGGGCACCCAGCCCCCCAUUCAGCUCCUGUCCUCUUGGGCCGGGGGCCUCCCCGGGGGGAAGAGCAUGGUGGUUUUCCCUUGGAGCCCCCUGGCUUGGUACGUCUGAGAAGAUGCCUGCCAUGAGGCUCUUCACUUGCUUCCUGCAGCUUCUGGCUGGGCUGGCACUGCCGGCUGUGCCCCCCCAGCAGUGGGCCUUGUCUGCUGGGAACAGCUCAUCGGAGGUGGAAGUGGUGCCCUUCCAGGAGGUGUGGGGCCGCAGCUACUGCCGGGCGCUGGAGAGGCUGGUGGACAUCGUGUCUGUGUACCCCAGUGAGGUGGAGCACAUGUUCAGCCCGUCCUGCGUCUCCCUGCUGCGCUGCACCGGCUGCUGUGGCGACGAGAACCUGCACUGUGUGCCCGUGGAGACGGUCAAUGUCACCAUGCAGCUCCUGAAGAUCCGCUCUGGGGACCGGCCCUCCUACGUGGAGCUGACAUUCUCUCAGCACGUGCGCUGCGAGUGCAGGUGGGUCCUGGGGUGUGGCAGGGACAGUCCCCACGCACUUGGCAGCUUCAGCCCAGGGGCUGCCCAUUCCUGCUUCAGGCCACACUUCCUUCCUGGCUGAGGCAGGCUAGGGAGACCGGGGGCCAGGGGCAGUUGCCUUGUGUCUCCCCAGCAGCUGGUUUUGCCCCGGGAAGUGGUCCCAGCAGCUGGAGCACAGCUGCCAAGAAGCCACAGGGACAAAGGGAGCUGGGGUCCCUCCCAGACUUGCAGGGGGCUCGGGGCCCACCCUCUCCGACCCUGAGCAGGAGGUGGCUGCCACAGCCCUAGCAGAGGUGCCUGGAUUUAGUUGUAGGCCAGGCUGGUGCCUACAGGAGGGGUAGCUGGGCUGAGAAGCACAAGACGACAAGCCUGGGUGGGAGGAAAGGGACAGAGGGAAGAAGGCCCUGGCUUUCUUUCAAGUCACACCCCUGCCUGGCAGAGCCUCUCAUUGGCACCAGUCUUGCUGUGGGUGCCCAAGGCACUCUGCACGUUAGUUACCGGGAGCAGCAGGCCCAGCACUGCCAACCAGGCUCAGGGAAGAGAGAAAUGGGCUCAGGUGCUCUCCUGGUGCCCCUCAGCCAUGGAUGGAGGCACCAGGCCAGAGGUCCCAAGCCCUAUCGGGGGGCAGGAAGAGGGGAGGAUCUCCAUUUAUGGGGCACCUACUCUGUGCCUUGAGGCACUUGAAUGUGUUUUCUCAUUUAUUUAACAAACAUCUAUGGAGCACCUACUGUAUGCUAGGCACUGUCCCAGAUGCCUGGGGUACAGUAGUGAGCAAGACACACCAGGUCCCUGCUCUCAUAACCCCAGGAGGUAGGUACUAUUGGCAUCCCAUUGUGCAGAUGAGGAAACCGAGGCUCGGUGUGAUUCUGUGAUUUGUCACAGCUAGUGAGUGAACCCCAGCCUGUCUGACUCCUAAGCCUGCCCCUUUCCUGCUCCCUGUCAUGGCCAUGGCCUCACUCUCCAGGAGUCCCAGACUGCCCUGGCCUUGGUCCUGCCUAGAGUCCAGGACACUGGCCACCCCUCGUGGACCUGUACCACUGUUAGAGGCCCUGCCUCAGUCUGUUUCCUCCUGUCUGUCCUUAGCCGUGUAACAAUAGUUCAGUAAUGAACCCUUUCAGACACAGUACUGGACAAUGACCUUUCACCUCCCACAUCACCUUUGCCCUCACAAUUGGUCUAUUAGGGCAGGUAGAUGAGGAGACUGAGGGCUAUAGAGUGUCUCUGACUGGUCCCAGAUGGCAGAGACAGGACCAGGCAGUUUCAGGAAGGGCUGGUACCCUAUCCUGGCUUCCCCCAGCCCUAAAGCUGACUGCACCACACUGCCCCAUGCCCUCACCCUGGUUCCCAGGGAAGACUGAGGCUCCAUCCCCUUUCAGAGGGCUGGGCAACAGGGCUACCUUUCUCCUCUCUCGGGGUCAACAGCCACAGCCCUGAGAGGCAGAGCCAGGACAAGCUUGGCGACUGUGGGGCCUGUGCUCCCCUCCCUUCACCCCACUCCUCACCUGAGCCCCUUGCUGUUGCCUGCAGCGUCACACAUCUCCAGGAUGGGGGUGCAGCUGUGCCCUGACAGGUGGCCUUGCCCCUCUUUCAUGGUCUGAGGAGACUCCCAGAGGGCAUUCUGGAAGGAAGAGCAGGCACAAGGGAAGAGAGUGAAACAAGAAAGGUGGCAGAAAGGAGAGUCAGUCCCCUGAUUUGACGCCAAGAGGGAGAGUAGAGCAGAGGGUGUGGAGAGGACCCCAAGAGGGCAUUCACACCUCUCUGCAUGGGGUCACCAGAGCCUAGAGUGGGAGCCCCAGGCCCCAGACUUCUGGGCAUCGCUCCCUCACCUCUGCGGGAGAAGAUGAAGCCAGAAAGGAGGAGACCCAAGGGCAGGGGGAAGAGGAAGAGAGAGAAGCAGAGACACACAGACUGCCACCUGUGCGGUGAUACUGUUCCCCGGAGGUAACCAGCCCCUCGGAGGAGAGAGACGGAGACCCCACGCCCGGCUCGUGUAUUUAUUACCGUUACACUCUCAGUUACCUCCCUGCUGGCACCUGCCCUCUAUUUAUUAGCCAAGUGUAUCCCUGCUGAAUGACUCACUCCCUUCAAGAUGAGGGGCAGGAAGGGACAGGACCCUCAGGAAUUCAGUGCCUUAAACAGAACGUGAGAGAAAGAAAGAAGACAGAUCCACGCGUGCGUCAUCUGGGGAAGAAGCAAGACUUGUGGCUUUGUGAGGGGCGUGUCACACCCCAGAGGCCUGAGGGUCUCCAGGGUGCUGGAGAGGGAGGGACGGGGGGGACAUGCCACCUGUCCCCAGGGCCUUGGGCUCUGCCGGGACCAGCAGCCCUUGCCUGGGGAGCUCCCUGCCGGGAUGAGGGUGGAGGAGCCUUCUCUGGCCACCGUGGCCCCUGCCGGGAGGGCGGGCAAGCAGCAGCCCCGCGCCCUGGAGACAGGAUGUUCAGCUCUGGAGACCAGUGGUUGCCUGGGGGCCUUUGCCACUCCUUGUCCCCUAGGUCUCGCCUCAUAUCUUACCACCGCUUGUGCUGGGACAUUGCUCUUUAUGCCAAGGCAUCCCCACCUGCCCCUCUCGGGGACGCAGGCAGAGAGGGCCCAGGCUGGUCAUGGAGCAAGCUGUCCCCGCGAGGCCGUCUGACCGCCAAGCCAGAUUCUCUUGAAUAAAGUACUCUAGUCUGGAAGCGGCUUUCCGGGGGAGUGAGUGUGACCACGAGAGCAGAGGGCAACAGCGGGAAUGGGAGCAGUACGGGACAAAAAGGGACCGUGGGCUGCAAGGCUGCCCAUGGCCCGGCUCCAGCCUGCCCCUGCCCUUCCCUGGCCUUCUUCUUCCAGCUGCUUUAGGCACCACCCUGAGGCCCAUGCCUCCCAGAAAGAGGGUUUCCUAAGAUGGAGCCUUGGCCCCAAACUUGGGGGCACCUGACCCCGGUCAACCCCGAACACUCUCAAAUUCAAGAACAUGGUCCCGGAGUUCCCGUUGUGGCACCGCGGAAACAAAUCCGACUAGGAACCAUGAGGUUGCGGGUUCGAUCCCUGGCCUUGCUCAGUGGGUUGCGGAUCCAGCGUUGCCGUGAGCUGUGGUGUAGGUCGCAGACGCAGCUCGGAUCCCAAGUUGCUGAGGCUGUGGUGUAGGCCAGCCCCUGCAGCUCUGCUUUGACCCCUAGCCUGGAAACCUCCCUAUGCUGUGGUAUGGCCCUAAAAAGC
ensembl:lncRNA